rnacentral:rRNA from 1 species
CAGCCGCCGCGGGAAUACGUAGGUGGCGAGCGUUGUCCGGAUUUAUUGGGCGUAAAGGGAGUGUAGGCGGUCUUUUAAGUCUGAUGUGAAAGCCCCCGGCUCAACCGGGGAGGGUCAUUGGAAACUGGGAAACUUGAGUGCAGAAGAGGAGAGUGGAAUUCCACGUGUAGCGGUGAAAUGCGUAGAGGUGUGGAGGAACACCAGUGGCGAAGGCGACUCUCUGGUCUGUAACUGACGCUGAGGAGCGAAAGCGUGGGGAGCGAACAGGAUUAGAUACCCGCGUAGUCCUGUCUCUUAUACA